rnacentral:rRNA from 1 species
UUUUUAAUUGAAGGCUUGUAUGAAUGGUUGGACAAAGAAAAAACUGUCUUUAUAAUAAAUAUUGAAUUUAACUUUUAAGUGAAAAGGCUUAAAUAAACCAAGGGGACGAUAAGACCCUAUAAAGCUUUAUAUAAAUAUUAUAUUUGUUUAAAUUUAAGAUUGAAAAAGUUGAUAUUAAUGAAAUAUUUUGUUGGGGUGACAUUUAUAUGAGUGUAUAUUAGUAACUAUAUAGAAAAAUUACUAUUAAUUGAUGAAUCUAAGAAUUAAUGGUCCUUUUUAAAGACUAGGAGAUUAAGUUACUUUAGGGAUAACAGCGUAAUUUUUUUUGAGAGUUCUUAUCGAAAAAAGAGUUUGCGACCUCGAUGUUGAAUUAAAUUAUCUAUAUAAUGUAGUUGUUAUAUAAGAGGGUCUGUUCGACCUUUAAAUUUUUAC